rnacentral:rRNA from 1 species
GUGGGGAAUAUUGCGCAAUGGAGGGAACUCUGACGCAGCAACGCCGCGUGAAGGAUGAAGGUUUUCGGAUUGUAAACUUCUUUGACGAGGGACGAAACAAAUGACGGUACCUCGAAAACAAGCCACGGCUAACUACGUGCCAGCAGCCGCGGUAAUACGUAGGUGGCAAGCGUUGUCCGGAUUUACUGGGUGUAAAGGGCGAGUAGGCGGGAUUGCAAGUCAGAUGUGAAAUACCAUGGCUUAACUGUGGGGCUGCAUUUGAAACUGCGAUUCUUGAGUGAUGGAGAGGCAGGCGGAAUUCCUAGUGUAGCGGUGAAAUGCGUAGAUAUUAGGAGGAACACCAGUGGCGAAGGCGGCCUGCUGGACAUUAACUGACGCUGAGGCGCGAAAGCGUGGGGAGCAAACAGGAUUAGAAACCCGAGUAGUCC